CAGUUACAUCUCUGGAAGGAUACAAAUCACAUUAUCUGUUGUGUCCAGAAAUACACUAAACUUUUGUUACAUAACAGAAAUUCCUACAUUUUUAUUUGUAAAACCCAAAACCUUACUUUGUUUCAUCCAAACUUAAUGUCUUUUUCUUUAAUGUGUAUCAACCAUUUCUAUAUAUUCAUGACUUUUUUUCUGCUCUGCUCACUUUCAUUUUUUUUGCUCACUUUCAAAUUCUUUGAGUAUCUGUACACUAUUCACAGAACCCCAAUCUCAAGAAUUUGAGUGAUUUGUCUUCCUUCUAACUUAACCUUUUAUAGCCCAAUCAUAUCUUAAGUAUUUGAAAAGGUUCCAGAAAAUAAAAUCUCAAAAGGUUAUGAUUUAAAGUAAUGAAAAUUUUCUUUGCAUAUGAUACUUCAUUCCUGUUAAAUCCCCUAAAAAUAGUUUGCUGUUUUCUGUCAACUGUAUUUUGCCUGAAAGGGAGGAAGUAAUUACUAAGAACAGGAUUAGGCUGGUUUGGGAAAUACUUUCAUGGCACCCUGUAAGCAUUUUAGUCGACUUUGAAACUAUGGCUAAAACAAAGUAAUUUUAUUUCCCUUCCUGAUUUUGUAGCUUUCUUGCUCCCUGAGAAUUAUAACAUAGUGACUUGGUGUUGCUUGCAAGAAUAUUGGAUUUCACUGGGUGCCAGAUCAUACCGUCUUUUUAAAUCAUGUUCCUUUCAUAGAUAAUUUGCCCCACUGUAAAAUCAUUAAGGAUAUUCAUUAAGUAUGCCACUCUUUUGUAGAGGAUCAAUAUAUCUAAAAUAAAAGGCACAGUUGUUUGCAUUUAGUUUCAGUCAUGUUUUCUUUUAGGCUUUCAGUAUUUUGUUUUUAAUACGCCAGAGUAGCUCCUCAUGUAAUGAGAUGGCACCUUGUGUAAUGAGCUACUGUUUAUUGUUAUUCCUGGCAACAGACCAUACGAGGGCAAGGCCUGUUAAAUACAAGUGCGCACCGGAGAUGCUCUUUCAACCUGCAGUGAGGGCCUGUAUGAGCAGAGGAAGGACAAUAUUUUUCCUUCUGUUUAGUCUCCAGGCAGAUUACAGAUGUCUCCAGCCUUUCUGUCUAGAGGCCUGGAUCUGCUAUGCUUGGAUAUUUCAUGUUAUCAAUCAAAGAAAAAUAGGAAUUAUUGCUAUUUCACAAUUUAACAGGAUAUUUUAAAAAAGCCUUGGAAUUAUCUGCCUUCCUUUAUCAUUAAAUGUCUACAAAGAGAGUUAUGACAGUGAGAUUAUAAAAAAUGUUUGAAGCUGGACAAGAGCACUGGAAGGUACACCUCAACGUAGAGUCCCAAGUCCUUGAAGAGGAAUGAUAGAGACAUGAGCUGGAGGUGAGGAUGGUGAGAAAUAAACUACACAUUAAAAGCCUGGGGGACA
rnacentral:lncRNA from 1 species